UUAAGUUGUUGCAGUUAAAAAGCUCGUAGUUGGAUUUCUGGUCGGAGCGACCGGUCGGCGUCCUUUGUGGCGUGUGCACUGUUGUCGGCUCCGUCCAUCCUAGUGGGAAGGCGUGUUGGCAUUCAUUUGUCGGCGCGUGGCCCCGCUACGUUUACUGUGAAAAAAUUAGAGUGUUUAAAGCAGGCGUUCGCUGUGAAUACAUUAGCAUGGAAUAAUAAGAUAGGACCCUGGUACUAUUUUGUUGGUUUGCGUACCUAGGUAAUGAUUAAUAGGGACAGUUGGGGGUAUUUGUAUU
rnacentral:rRNA from 14 species